rfam:Desulfarculus baarsii DSM 2075, complete genome.
GCCGGCGUAGCUCAGGGGUAGAGCAGCUGAUUCGUAAUCAGCAGGUCGCGGGUUCAAAUCCCAUCGCCGGCU